rnacentral:rRNA from 1 species
GACGAACGCUGGCGGCGUGCCUAAUACAUGCAAGUCGAGCGGACUGAAUGGGAGCUUGCUCUUGUUCGGUCAGCGGCGGACGGGUGAGUAACACGUGGGCAACCUGCCCGCAAGACCGGGAUAACUCCGGGAAACCGGAGCUAAUACCGGAUAACACCGAAGACCGCAUGGUCUUUGGUUGAAAGGCGGCGCAAGCUGCCACUUGCGGAUGGGCCCGCGGCGCAUUAGCUAGUUGGUGAGGUAACGGCUCACCAAGGCGACGAUGCGUAGCCGGCCUGAGAGGGUGACCGGCCACACUGGGACUGAGACACGGCCCAGACUCCUACGGGAGGCAGCAGUAGGGAAUCUUCCGCAAUGGGCGAAAGCCUGACGGAGCGACGCCGCGUGAGCGAAGAAGGCCUUCGGGUCGUAAAGCUCUGUUGCGAGGGACGAAGGAGCGCCGUUUGAAGAAGGCGGCGCGGUGACGGUACCUCACGAGGAAGCCCCGGCUAACUACGUG